rnacentral:rRNA from 1 species
UACGGGGGGAGCAAGCGUUGUUCGGAUUUACUGGGCGUAAAGGGCGCGUAGGCGGCGCAACAAGUCACUUGUGAAAUCUCCGGGCUUAACCCGGAGCGGUCAAGUGAUACUGUCGUGCUAGAGUGCGGAAGGGGCUACUGGAAUUCUCGGUGUAGCGGUGAAAUGCGUAGAUAUCGAGAGGAACACCUGCGGCGAAGGCGGGUUGCUGGGCCGACACUGACGCUGAGGCGCGAAAGCCAGGGGAGCGAACGGG